AGUCGAGCGGUAACAGGGGAGCUUGCUCCUGCUGACGAGCGGCGGACGGGUGAGUAACGCGUAGGAAUCUACCUGGUAGUGGGGGAUAGCCCGGGGAAACUCGGAUUAAUACCGCAUACGCCUUAAGGGGGAAAGCAGGGGAACUUCGGUCCUUGUGCUAUCAGAGGAGCCUGCGUUGGAUUAGCUAGUUGGUAGGGUAAAGGCCUACCAAGGCGACGAUCCAUAGCUGGUCUGAGAGGAUGAUCAGCCACACCGGAACUGAGACACGGUCCGGACUCCUACGGGAGGCAGCAGUGGGGAAUAUUGGACAAUGGGGGCAACCCUGAUCCAGCCAUGCCGCGUGUGUGAAGAAGGCCUUCGGGUUGUAAAGCACUUUAAGUUGGGAGGAAGGGGUGAUUGCUAAUAUCAAUCAUCAUUGACGCUACCGACAGAAUAAGCACCGGCUAACUCCGUGCCAGCAGCCGCGGUAAUACGGAGGGUGCAAGCGUUAAUCGGAAUUACUGGGCGUAAAGCGCGCGUAGGCGGCUAAGUAAGUCGGGUGUGAAAGCCCCGGGCUCAACCUGGGAACUGCAUCCGAUACUGUUUGGCUA
rnacentral:rRNA from 1 species